rnacentral:tRNA from 1 species
AAUAACGUGCUUGACAAAAAGGUCGCCUUGAUAGGGGGGAAAAUGAGAGGCAACCUCUCCGUUAUUA